AACCUUUACACUGCACGAAAGUGUGAUAAGGGAAUCCCGAGUGCUCAUGCAAUGCAUGGGCUUUUGCCAAAUGUAAAUAGUUUGGCGAAUAAGUGGUGGGUAAGACAUGUGCCAGCCGCCGCGGUAACACCUGCGCCACAAGUGGCAAUCGUUAUUAUUGGGCCUAAAGCGUCCGUAGCUGGUCCAGCAAAUUUCCUGUGAAAUCGUUGUGCUCAACGCAACGGCGUGCAGGAAAGACUACUGGACUUGGGACCGGGAGGCGUCAGAGGUAUUCCUGAGGGAGCGGUAAAAUGCUAUAAUCUCAGGAGGACCCCCUGUGGCGAAGGCGUCUGACGAGAACGGAUCCGACAGUGAGGGACGAAAGCCAGGGGAGCGAACCGG
rnacentral:rRNA from 1 species